CGUAGGUGGCAAGCGUUGUCCGGAUUUACUGGGCGUAAAGGGCGUGCAGGCGGUUUGUUAAGUGCAGGGUGAAAGCUCCCGGCUCAACUGGGAGAGGUCCUUGCAUACUGGCAAACUCGAGGGAGGCAGAGGAAAGUGGAAUUCCCGGUGUAGUGGUGAUAUGCGUAGAUAUCGGGAGGAACACCUGUGGCGAAGGCGGCUUUCUGGGCCUUACCUGACGCUGAGACGCGAAAGCGUGGGGAGCGAACCGGAUUAGAUACCCGGGUAGUCCACGCCGUAAACUAUGGACACUAGGUGUGGGGGGUAUCGACCCCCUCCGUGCCGAAGCUAACGCAAUAAGUGUCCCGCCUGGGGAGUACGGCCGCAAGGCUA
rnacentral:rRNA from 1 species